rnacentral:tRNA from 1 species
GCCCCCGUAGCUCAGUGGAUAGAGCAGUGGCCUCCGGAGCCAUGUGCGGCCGUUCGAGUCGGCCCGGGGGUACCU